GAUGAACGCUGGCGGCGUGCCUAAUACAUGCAAGUCGAGCGAACAGAUGAGGCGCUUGCUCCUCUGACGUUAGCGGCGGACGGGUGAGUAACACGUGGAUAACCUCCCUAUAAGACUGGGAUCACUUCGAGAAACCGGAGCUAAUACCGGAUAAUAUAUUUAACCGCAUGGUUCAAUAUUGAAAGACGGUUUUGCUUUCACUUAUAGAUGGAUCCGCGCCGCAUUAGCUAGUUGGUAAGGUAACGGCUUACCAAGGCAACGAUGCGUAGCCGACCUGAGAGGGUGAUCGGCCACACUGGAACUGAGACACGGCCCAGACUCCUACGGGAGGCAGCAGUAGGGAAUCUUGCGCAAUGGGCGAAAGCGUGACGGAGCAACGCCGCGUGAGUGAUGAAGGUCUUCGGAUCGUAAAACUCUGUUAUUAGGGAAGAACAAAUGUGGAAGUAAAUAUGCACGGAUUGACGGUACCUAAUCAGAAAGCCACGGCUAACUACGUG
rnacentral:rRNA from 1 species